GCCUUCAAUCAAAAUGUAAACACAUAAAAGGAAUUGUGUGCUCGAUUCAUUUUAAUUGAAUAAAACACUGAAUAAUAAUUUUUUUAUUGCUUCAAAGAGACUGUUAAACCAGUUCAAUUAAGUUCCCGCAUGCCGAGCGAUGGUAACACUCAACUGCCAUUAACCGUCUAAUGUACUCUUCGGGAAGUGAAAGAAAAAUGGAAUAUGGAUUGUAAAGACAAGCAGGCGCAAUGUGGCAAGAAUGCGGAGGCAAGCAGGCAGGCAGGCGGCACUGAUACAGGGACAGGGACCUGCAGGGACAGUCGGAACAGAGGCUCCGCCGAGUCUGUGAGAUGGCAUAUAAAUUUUGCGGUCUGUGGCAAUAAAUCAGCGUUUGGCUGUCACCCCAUUUUGCCAGUGUAAAUCGCAGCCCGACAAAGUCCCAGCACUCAGCUCUUCUUCUGUCCAAAGCUACACCUCCGGCUUCAUCUCCAGCUACAGCUUCAGCUCCAUCUACAUCUUCAGCUAUGGUGUUCCUUUCGAGCUGUCAGCUGUCUUGCGAGUGUCGCCUGAACACAAAUUAAUGUUGACACCGUCGUUGCUUCUGGAGACUGCUCGAGUGCGGCUUCGUUAGGCGUUGAUGCUGAUGAAGAGAAUGUGGAUGAUGAUGAUGAUGAUGGUGACGGUGACGUUGACGGUGAAGCUUGGCCAAGUGGCCGACGCGUUGCACUUCAAAGACGCAUUAAUAAUUAAUAAGA